rnacentral:rRNA from 1 species
AAUCAACGCUGGCGGCGUGCCUAACACAUGCAAGUCGAACGAGAAAGUGGAGCAAUCCAUGAGUAAAGUGGCGACCGGGUGAGUAACACGUGACUAACCUACCUUCAAGUGGGGGAUAACCUCGGGAAACCGGGGCUAAUACCGCAUAAUAUCUUUGGGAUGGAAAUGCUGAAGAUCAAAGGAGCAAUUCGCUGGAAGAGGGGGUCGCGGCUGAUUAGCUAGUUGGCGGGGUAAUGGCCCACCAAGGCUUUGAUCGGUAGCCGGCCUGAGAGGGCGCACGGCCACACUGGAACUGAAACACGGGUCCAGACUCCUACGGGAGGCAGCAGUGGGGAAUUUUUGCGCAAUGGGGGAAACCCUGACGCAGCAACGCCGCGUGGAGGAUGAAGUCCCUUGGGACGUAAACUCC